CUCUCAUGCUAUCUCUUUCUUCGCAGCGACACCAUAAAACGGGCGGCUGCUUCCUGACAGUUUUUUACUAGCCCCAUUUUGGCUACCAAAGGCCAAUUUGUAGAGAAACGGACAUACGGACAUCGUUAGUUUGCCCCAAAAACCACACACAUAUGUGGAUUUCUCUUUAUAAACUGAAAUGUACACAUAUACAUACAUACAUACAUACAUACGUAUGUAUACAUACCCCUUACAGUAAUCAUGAAAUUUCUUUCCCACAAUGACUAUGGUUGAUGAGAUGACGCCAAUUGUCGUCGACGCUGAGGAGA